CAGGCCGGAGUAAGCCGGCGUUAAGCUUUCUCGUUUAUUACCAUGAUCGUCCACUUCGUGGACACCGAGUGGCUCCUGUCCACUCUGUUUGACGCCUCCCUGUUGACACUUUGGGCCGCCCUUCCCGGCGGCCCCUUUUUU
rnacentral:sRNA from 1 species